CAUGGGAGGGGGGGGGCCACAGCAGGGGGCGGGUUCAUGAAGAGGAGGGGCAUAGCCCAGGAGCACCAGGAUUGGGCACAACAGGGAGAGUCGCCAGAGGGGGCUGAGCUUGGCUACAGGAUGAGGAGGGGUGUGGCCAGGCUCUUCAGCCUUGGGCAUCCUUGGGCUGUCAUGGGAGGAGCCGGGUUCAAGAAGAGAAGUGGUGUAGCCCAAAAGCACUAGGAUUGGGCACAACAGAGUGGCUAAUGGAAGGGUUGGAGCUUGUUCACUUGAGAGGCGUGGCCAGGACACCUCAGCUUUGGUGUUCUGGUGCUGGGUCAUGGGAGGAGUGGGGCUGGUCACACCAGGAGGUGGGCCUGGGUUCAGGAGGAAGAGUUGCACAGCUCCAAAGUGCCUGGAUUGGGCACAACUUGGCAGGUCACGGCAGGGGGUGGAGCCAGGGCACCUCAGCUGUGGGUAUCCUUGGGCUGUAAUGAGAGGGGCGGGGCCUGGGUUCUGGAGGAGGAGCUGUGUGGCAGGGGUGGGGCAGGAUUGGGCACACCAGGGCGAGUCACAGGAGAAAGAGCCUGGUCUGGUCACCUCUCAGGUCUGGGCUCCCUGGGGCCAGUCACAGUAGUGUCCAUCACUGAGCCAGUGGCAAUGCCCUACCAGCCUGGCCUUCUGAGCCCAUUUGCACCACUGGAUAGAGGGUAUGAAGAAGGGGAGACUUGGUGGUGUCCACCCACAACGACAGUACCCAGAAUUCUUGGCCUGACAGGCCACACCCAGGACCACAGUACCCAGAAAACUCUGCAUGCCCCAAUCAAGAACUACACUACCCAGAAUCCUUGGUGUGACCCCCGCAGACUAAAGUACCCAGAAGAUUAUGCAUGCCCACCACAGGCAAAACCCUUAGCCCACCCCUCCCCCAUUAUGGUACUCAUAAUCCUCAUUGUGACUCUCCCUCCCAGAACUACAGUAUCCAGAAACUUUUGCGUGUCAUUCCCCUCCCCAUCAUGGUUCACAGUAUCCUCCCCAGGACACCACUUCCCCCAUGACUAUGGUACCUGGAAGGCUCGCUGUGCCUCCCACCACCACAAGGAUCAAGACAUAAAGAAUCCAGCCAAGGCUUGCAGCCCAGAGCAACAUCCUGCACAAUUCCAGCCAAAGGCCUAGAGCCCACAGACAUACCCUCCAUGAGUCUGCAUCAGGGAUCUGCACUGGGAAGCCCAAAAGGCUAGUGGUGGAUUUUAGAAAGUCUAUGCUGGCCAAGUAAAAGAGCUGUGCCAGAAGGCUAAAAGAUCUACACUGGAGCCAGGAAGCGACAGUCAAGGUGAAGACCAGAGCUCCCC
rnacentral:lncRNA from 1 species